CCGGCCGCCCGCGCGGGGCUCGGCUAGCGCUGCCUUUCCGGCCUCCACGUGGGUCUGUCGCCAUGGCGGCCCCGGAGCAGCCAGCCGGGAGCGCGGCCCCCGCCGCUGCCGCCGCAGCCCGGGGCCCCGCGCGGCGGGUGGCGAAGCAGGUCCCCGAGGAGAUCCUCCACAACCAGGAGCUCCAGGAAGCCGUCAAGGUCCUGCCCAGCAACUACAACUUCGAGAUCCCCAAGACCGUGUGGAGGGUUCGGCAGGCUCAGGCCAGGAAGGUGGCCCUGCAGAUGCCCGAAGGCCUCCUCAUGUUCGCGUGCACCAUCGCGGACAUCAUCGAGCGGUUCACCGGAGCGGAGGCCGUGGUGAUGGGCGACGUGACCUACGGCGCCUGCUGCGUGGACGACUUCACGGCCGAGGCCCUGGGCGCCGACUUCCUCGUGCACUACGGCCACAGCUGCCUGAUUCCCAUCGACGCCACACGAGGGAUGAAGAUGCUCUACGUGUUCGUGGACAUAAAGAUCGACACGUCCCACUUCCUCGAGACCCUGCGCUUCAACUUCCCCGCCGGCGCCUCGCUGGCCCUCGUCAGCACCAUCCAGUUCGUGUCGGCGCUGCAGGCGGCCUCGCAGGAGCUGCGCUCCCAGUACAAGGUGUGCGUGCCCCAGUGCAAGCCCCUCUCGCCCGGCGAGAUCCUGGGCUGCACGUCUCCCCGGCUCGCGCAGGACACGGACGCUAUCGUGUACCUGGGCGACGGGCGCUUCCACCUGGAGUCCGUCAUGAUCGCCAACCCGGGCAUCCCUGCCUACAGGUACGAUCCCUACAGCAAGGUCUUCUCGCAGGAGCACUACGCCCACGAGCGCAUGCGCCGCGCUCGGCAGGAGGCCAUCCGUGCCGCGGCCAGCGCCCGCCGCUGGGGACUCGUCCUGGGGACACUGGGGCGCCAGGGCUCCCCCCGCAUCCUGCAGCACCUGGAGUCGCGUCUCCGCGCCCUGGGACGGCCCUUCGUGCGGGUGCUGCUCUCCGAGAUCUUCCCCAGCAAGCUGCAGCUCUUCCCUGACGUGGACGCCCUCUGAAACACUCGCGGCAGCCUGGGCCGGUUCGUGCGCUGCUCUCGCUCCGCUGGACGUGGCUAAGCAUGAUGGAGAGAGGAGCAGAUUGCUCGUGACGGGGACGCGGCCGGGACCGGGCGGCAGUGAGGACGCAGGGGUGAGCGUCGUGCUGCGCUUCCCUUCCAGGUGGGUGCAGGUCGCCUGUCCCCGGCUCUCCAUCGACUGGGGAGAAGCCUUCAGCAAGCCGCUGCUGACGCCCUACGAGGCGGCCGUGGCGCUCCGGGACGUCGAGUGGCAGCAGCCGUACCCCAUGGAUUUCUACGCCAGCCAGUCCC